UGGGGAAUUUUGGACAAUGGGCGAAAGCCUGAUCCAGCAAUGCCGCGUGUGUGAAGAAGGCCUUCGGGUUGUAAAGCACUUUUGUCCGGAAAGAAAUCCUUGGCUCUAAUACAGUCGGGGGAUGACGGUACCGGAAGAAUAAGCACCGGCUAACUACGUGCCAGCAGCCGCGGUAAUACGUAGGGUGCGAGCGUUAAUCGGAAUUACUGGGCGUAAAGCGUGCGCAGGCGGUUUGCUAAGACCGAUGUGAAAUCCCCGGGCUCAACCUGGGAACUGCAUUGGUGACUGGCAGGCUAGAGUAUGGCAGAGGGGGGUAGAAUUCCACGUGUAGCAGUGAAAUGCGUAGAGAUGUGGAGGAAUACCGAUGGCGAAGGCAGCCCCCUGGGCCAAUACUGACGCUCAUGCACGAAAGCGUGGGGAGCAAACAGGAUUAGAUACCCGCGUAGUCC
rnacentral:rRNA from 1 species